rnacentral:rRNA from 1 species
AUUAGCCAUGCAUGUCUCAGUACAUGCCGAAUUAAGGUGAAACCGCGAAUGGCUCAUUAAAUCAGUUAUGGUUCAUUAGAUCGUGGACACAUUUACUUGGAUAACUGUGGUAAUUCUAGAGCUAAUACAUGCAAACAGAAUUCCUCUCAGAGAUGGGAGGAAUGCUUUUAUUAGAUCAAAACCAAUCGGUGGCGGACGGCUCGUCCGUUCGUCCAUCGUUUGUUUUGGUGACUCUGAAUAACUUUGUGCUGAUCGCAUGGUCAUCUAGCACCGGCGACGCAUCUUUCAAAUGUCUGCCUUAUCAACUGUCGAUGGUAGGUUCUGCGCCUACCAUGGUUGUAACGGGUAACGGGGAAUCAGGGUUCGAUUCCGGAGAGGGAGCCUGAGAAACAGCUACCACAUCCAAGGAAGGCAGCAGGCGCGCAAAUUACCCACUCCCGGCACGGGGAGGUAGUGACGAAAAAUAACGAUACGGGACUCAUCCGAGGCCCCGUAAUCGGAAUGAGUACACUUUAAAUCCUUUAACGAGGACCAAUUGGAGGGCAAGUCUGGUGCCAGCAGCCGCGGUAAUUCCAGCUCCAAUAGCGUAUAUUAAAGUUGUUGCGGUUAAAAAGCUCGUAGUUGAAUCUGUGUGUCACAGUGUCGGUUCACCGCUCGCGGUGUUUAACUGGCAUUAUGUGGUACGUCCUAUCGGUGGGCUUAGCUCCUUGCGGGCGGUCCAACUAAUAUCCCAUCGCGGUGCUCUUCACUGAGUGUCGAGGUGGGCCGAUACGUUUACUUUGAAAAAAUUAGAGUGCUUAAAGCAGGCUACCUUUGCCUGAAUACUGUGUGCAUGGAAUAAUGGAAUAGGACCUCGGUUCUAUUUUGUUGGUUUUCGGAACCCCGAGGUAAUGAUUAAUAGGGACAGAUGGGGGCAUUCGUAUUGCGACGUUAGAGGUGAAAUUCUUGGAUCGUCGCAAGACGGACAGAAGCGAAAGCAUUUGCCAAAAAUGUUUUCAUUAAUCAAGAACGAAGUUAGAGGUU